GCAGCAGUAGGGAAUUUUCGGCAAUGGACGGAAGUCUGACCGAGCAACGCCGCGUGAAUGAUGAAGUAUUUCGGUAUGUAAAGUUCUUUUAUUUGGGAAGAAAAAACAAAUUGACGGUACCAAAUGAAUAAGCCCCGGCUAACUACGUGCCAGCAGCCGCGGUAAUACGUAGGGGGCAAGCGUUAUCCGGAAUUAUUGGGCGUAAAGGGUGCGUAGGCGGGUUAUCAAGUCUUUGGUUAAAAUGCGGUGCUCAACGCCGUAGUGCCAAAGAAACUGAUAGUCUAGAGUAUGGUAGAAGUGAGUGGAACUCCAUGUGUAGCGGUAAAAUGCGUAAAUAUAUGGAAGAACACCAGUGGCGAAGGCGGCUCACUAGGCCAAUACUGACGCUGAGACACGAAAGCGUGGGGAGCAAACAGGAUUAGAUACCCUGGUAGUCCACGCCCUAAACGAUGAGUACUAAGUGUAGCCAGAAGGCUGUGCUGAAGUUAACGCAUUAAGUACUCCGCCUGAGUAGUACGUACGCAAGUAUGAAACUUAAAGGAAUUGACGGGAUCCCGCACAAGCGGUGGAGCAUGUUGUUUAAUUCGACGAUACGCGAAGAACCUUACCAGGUCUUGACAUACUCGGCAAAUCUAUAGAGAUAUAGAGGAGGUUAACCGGGAGACAGGUGGUGCAUGGUUGUCGUCAGCUCGUGUCGUGAGAUGUUAGGUUAAGUCCUGCAACGAGCGCAACCCUUAUUGCUAGUUACCAUCAUUAAGUUGGGGACUCUAGCGAGACUGCCGGUGAUAAACCGGAGGAAGGCGGGGAUGACGUCAAAUCAUCAUGCCCUUUAUGACCUGGGCUACAAACGUGCUACAAUGGCUGACACAAAGAGAAGCGAGCUCGCGAGAGUAAGCAAACCUCAGAAAAGCAGUCUCAGUUCGGAUUGAAGUCUGCAACUCGACUUCAUGAAGUUGGAAUCGCUAGUAAUCGCGAAGCAGAAUGUCGCGGUGAAUACGUUCCCGGGAUUUGUACACACCGCCCGUCAAACCAUGAGAGUUUGUAAUACCCGAAGCCGGUGGCCGAACCGCAAGGAAGGAGCCGUCUAAGGUAGGACAGAUGAUUGGGGUUAAGUCGUAACAAGGUAUCCCUAC
rnacentral:rRNA from 1 species